rnacentral:lncRNA from 1 species
CGGUUUUUUGGCCAUCAAAGCCUUCAUUUGAUCGGUUUUUCCUUUCCAAAAACAAGGGUCACUUUGGGUUUCUGUUUGAGGUUUUUCAACUGUUUUGGUUUUGGGUUUUGCCACUGGGGUUUGUUGCUUCUCCGAUUGAUUUGUAUGAUAUAUUCAGUUUUUUAUGUAUUGGCUUUUUGCAUAUGCCGGUUGGGUUUUCUUGCAUUUGGGAUUUUGCUUGUCAGGGUAGGGUGCUUUUGGGUUUUUAUUCUUAAUUUAUUUGUUGGCGUUUUAGCUUGAGAUUCUUCUAAUGUUUUUGUUUUGGGUUUUGUCGCUUGGGUUUCUUGCUUCUCUUGUUGAUAUGCUUGAUAUCAACCAAAACAAGGGUUUUUAUUUUAGAUUUCAACCCGACUCUUUGCAUGUAUCUUAGAGUAAAAAGCACAUGGGUUUCUUGCUUUUCCUAUUGAUUUGCUUGAUAUAACAUGAAAUUUACCACUUUGGCUUGUUGCUUUUUCAGUUGAUUUACAUUACAUAUCAGUUUUGCAUGUAUUGGCUUCUUGCAUGUGCUACUUGGAUUUUCUUGCAUUUGGGAUUUUUCUUGCCAAGGCAGGGUGCUUUUGGGGUUUUUAUUCUUUAUUUGUCUGAUAGGGUUUUGGCCUGAGAUUCUUCCGGUGUUUUUAUUUUCAGUUUUGUCGCAUGGGUUUCUUGCUUCUCCUAUUGAUUUGCUUGAUAUUAGUUGAAGCAAGGGUUGUUGAUUUCAAAUUUCAAUUUGACUUUUUACAUGUAUCUUAGAGUAAAAAGUUUUUGAUUUGCGCAAUUUAUCAAGUUGAAGGUAUGACAUUUUGAGAAAUAUAAAC